rnacentral:misc_RNA from 1 species
GAUGAAGACCGUAGCGAAAUGCGAUAAGUAAUGCGAAUUGCAGAAUCCGUGAGUCAUCGAAUCUUUGAACGCACAUUGCGCCCUCUGGUAUUCCGGAGGGCAUGCCUGUUCGAGCGUCAUUAUCACCCCUCAAGCCCGGCUUGUUGUUGGAUGCAGCGCUUAUCCCGCUCCUCCCAAAGAUAAUGACGGCGUCUGCGACGACUCCUGUACACUGAGCUUUCGGGCACGUACACGGCUAGAAGUCCAGACCCGGUCGCCGUCCCCCCCGCGGGGACACCCAUUACCACAAGGUUGACCUCGGAUCAGGUAGGAAUACCCGCUGAACUUAAGCAUAUCAAUAAGCGGAGGA